rnacentral:lncRNA from 10 species
GAGCGGGGACCCACUCCGAGGCCCAGCAAGCACUGCCGCCGGGCCUUGACCGAGGGGGGGCGGAGGGCUGAGGAGACAAUGCCUGGGGAGAGGCCCCUGCAAACCCGGGAAUGGUCAGAUAAACAAGCAAGUGUGGAGAGGGAAGAGAAAGGAGAGUGGAGACAAAGAUCCUUGAGGAUAAAACAGUUCGAAGGAGCAAUGAUUUAUCUUUCCAUAGGGGGAAAUGGGGAGAAGGAAAGUAAAUUAAGAAGAGUGGAUGGGAAGAAUUUUCCAGGUUGAUCCUGGUUUGGGAAGCUUCCAGCUUGGAAUGAUUACAAUAGAAAGAAGCUGUUGUCCUGAUUCUUCCUGAUGCCGACACACCUUCUCUUUUUAACAACAAUAGCAUGGCACCUUUGAUUACUGUUAUAAAAUCCAGAGAUCUUCAGACUGGGGCAUGCCCACUGGGGGGGUAUAUAAAGACUUUGUAAGGGGCACUUGGGCAUCGAAGUGUUGGAUUAUGUGUCCUCAACUUUCCUAUCAUUGAGUUCCUAAAACAGACUUGCAUCAGAACCUCUGGGCUGGGAGUUAUUUACCCUUUCCUACCUCUCUUCCUUUCCAUCAUCCUUCUGCUACUCUACAAAAGAAAGGCACCACCCUCCCCCAUCCCAAAUCUUUUAAAAUAUAUUGCCUGGGUAUAGAAACCUUUAUGAUAGCAAAGGGACGAUUUCAUUUCAUAAUACAUAUUUAUUAAACACCUAAUAUAUACCAGGCACAGUUCUGGAUGAUGAGUUACUGCAGUGAACACAACAGUAAAACAUUUCUGUCCUCAUGGGCUUCCAUUCUAGAUGGAAGAGAUGGGCAAGAAGCAAAAAAGAUAUUACCCAUGCUGCUUCUUUCAAUUAAGGCCCUAAAAUUUUCCCAUUAACCUCAUGAAGAAAUACAUUUCAGAAAAAUUUUCCUUCUUAUGUUUAGUAAUUAUCAAAACUUACAAAGUUACAUUAUUUUGAUCAGUUGUACAUUAGUAAUAAUUAUAAUGAAGACUCAAUCUAGCAAAAUUAAUACUUGGAAAAUCAUGGCAAUGGGAAAUUAAAAUUUAAAUCACAAUUUUUAUAUGUACUUUGACUGCAGUGAAGUAUAAUACUCAGUAAAAAGGCUUUAAGUGUAAAAAAUUACAUCAUAAGGCCGGGCGUGGUGACUCACGCCUGUAAUCCUAGCACUUUGGGAGGGCGAAGCAGGCAGAUCAUGAGAUCAGUAGUUUGAGAUCAGCCUGACCAACGUGGUGAAACCCCAUUUCUACUAAAAAUACAAAAAUUAGCCGGGCGUGGUGGCGUGUACCUGUAAUCCCAGCUACUUAGGAGGCUGAGGCAGGAGAAUCGCUUGAACCUGGGAGGCAGAGGUUGCAGUAAUCUGAGAUUGUGCCACUGCCUGCAGCCUGGUGACAGAGCAGACUCUGUCUCAAAAAAAAAAAAAAAAGAAAAAAAAUUAUGUCAUAAUACUUCUGUAGGGAAAGUAGAAUGCAUUAUUUUUCAGAAUAACGGAAACGUCAAUUUCUGAUUAAUAGGCUUAUUCGCUGUGUGUGUGUGUGUGGUUAUAUAUAUAUAUAUAUAUAUAUAUUUUUUUUUUUUUUUUUUUUUUUUGAGACGGAGUCUCGCUCUGUUGCCAGGCUGGAGGAGUGGCCGUCAUCUCAG